AUCACCCCGCACGUUGAGCAAACGCUCGGCGGCGCCAUGAAGCUGCUGGGCCCGUCCGCGCUCAUCGCGAUGCUGGUCCUCCUCCUCGGCCUCCACACGGCGCAGGCCGGAUGGGGGAGGCGGCGGAGGGCCGAGAAGAAACCUGGCUAUUGUCCAGAGUUUUUUCUCGAUUGUCCUUUCCACCUUUUACCUCUGUGCCGUCGCGACGGAAGCUGCCCGGGGGACGAGAAGUGUUGCUUCUACAACUGCAGGCAGCAGUGUAUGGAGCCGUGGUUCACCUUGGAUUGAGGUAAAAACCCUUCUUCACCGGACCUGAGAAGACCCCUCUGGCAGGCUCAGACUUGGAUAACUGAUCCCCAAUUCCUCCAUGCUCUCCCCACUGCCCACGCUUUCUUAAAGCAAGAGUUAAAUGCUUUUUGACAUGAGAACAACACAAAG